rnacentral:rRNA from 1 species
GGCUCAGAGUGAACGCUGGCGGCAGGCCUAACACAUGCAAGUCGAGCGGCAGCGCGUCCGACCACCCUCGGAUGGUCGGAUGGCGGCGAGCGGCGGACGGGUGAGGAAUGCAUCGGAAUCUGCCUCGUUGUGGGGGAUAACGUAGGGAAACUUACGCUAAUACCGCAUACGACCUACGGGUGAAAGUGGGGGACCUUCGGGCCUCACGCGAUGAGAUGAGCCGAUGCCGGAUUAGCUAGUUGGCGGGGUAAAGGCCCACCAAGGCGACGAUCCGUAGCUGGUCUGAGAGGAUGAUCAGCCACACUGGAACUGAGACACGGUCCAGACUCCUACGGGAGGCAGCAGUGGGGAAUAUUGGACAAUGGGGGCAACCCUGAUCCAGCCAUGCCGCGUGUGUGAAGAAGGCCUUCGGGUUGUAAAGCACUUUUGUUGGGGAAGAAACCGGCCGGGUUAAUACCCUGGUUGAAUGACGGUACCCAAAGAAUAAGCACCGGCUAACUUCGUG